ensembl:lncRNA
GGCAUUCUACAGGCAAGCCAGUGGGGUCAGGGUGCAGCAUUGCAGGCCAGGCAGGGGGACAGCGUGAGCUAAGGCCUGGAAUUCUAAGAAGCUGGUUGUUGACCAUGGGGUGUCACAGGAAGCUUAGACUGACAAGACCUGCCCUGUGCUUCCCUGUUCCCCAGAGAGCACUCCCAUCCUUACCCUACACCCCCAUUUUGAAACAGCCUUGGGUUACUGUGCUGCAUGGAUGCGAGCCUCCCUGGAGUGAGGCUGCACUUCCUCCUGGCUGAAGACUGAGCUCAGCAGGACUCCAGCCCCACCCUUCAGAUAAGCCAGGAACACCCACACCUGGAGCUGCCCCUGAGCCAGCAAGCAGCCUCACAGCCCUGGUGUCAUUGGCUGAGACCCAGGAACCCUCAGGGAGAGCAGCUGCUCACCACAUACCACACAUCCUGCACACCAGCAUCCCUAGUCAGACUGAACCAAAAGCUCCACACAGGGGAUCACCGCCUACCAGCUCAUAAUCUGAUUCUCCAGCCACCGCACCCACCACCCUCCUUAGUGUGUCUUCUCAGUCCUGGACGCAGGCCAGUGUCUCCACCCUCCAACUCAUCCAAGACCUAACUGAUACCUUACGACAAUUUUACUGAAGGUGGAAACUAAUUGCAACUGCUACCAGAUGUUUUUGGUCUUAAAGCUCAUAGUCAAAAUCUGACCUAGAGUCUGCCCAGCUCCUAGCAGGAUUCCAGGUAGGGGGAACAGUCCUAGGAGUCUCCAGGAGUCUGCACACCUCAAAGACCACUCAUUUUGGCCCCAGAGAGAGAGAAGAAAAUCCGCCUCUCCCCAGUGCAAAGCCUGUGUCCUUUAUGGCCUCGGGACACACCUCUCCUUUUGGACAGCUCUGAGCCACACACAUGUGGCCUGAACAGCAGGGCCCAGAUGUGACAAUCAGAAGGACUCUAAAAUACAGCACAAAUGAAUGUAUCUGAGGAAACAAAAACACAACAGACUUGUGGUUGCCUGGGGGAGGGAAGGAUUGGGAGUUUGGGAUUAUCAGAUGCAAACAUACACAGGAUGGGUGCUGCUGUGCAGCGCGGGGAACCAUUCAGGAUCUUUAAUAAACCAUAAUGGAAAAGAAAAAAAAAGAAUGACUUCCCGUUUUCGGAAUAACUCUGUUGGGUGAGGGAAGCUCAACAGUAACUCAUGCCCAGUUCCACGCACAGUCACCCCGCCCCCAAGAAGAUCUGUAGGUUUGGGGGAACGCAGCUCCCACACCUAGUGAUGCCUGGUUCUUGGCUCCAGAUAUCUCGGGAGAAAACGUAAGAGAAGAGGACAGGAACAAGCCACUGUGAGAAUAUCGUAAAUCCAGGUGUUGGAUGGGGAGUGGGGUGUAGGCAGGAUCCUAACUGCACGGGACCAGACUCUCCUAACGUACCAGGUACAAGCCAGAACCUUGCAGGCUGCAGAUGCUGAUGCUGGUACACUUCACCCAUGUUUCAGAGAUUCCCCAAGAAAAAUGGACAGGCACUUGCUGCCCUGAUGAAGAGGUCACUCCCAGAACUGUCCAAGAGAUGAAUUCCAGUCUUACACUACACUGCUUCAAACGUUCACAAGCCCCCAGAGGAGUUUUUCCAGCUCCAACUUUAUUUUAAAAUCCAGGCUCUACCUACCGGGUACCCCAUUAUAAACAUGGAGAAUUGAGAAACCCCUCAUCAAAAGUAGGGAGGGAAGAGGCAGUCCACCAAAAUUCUUUUGUUCUUCAUCAUCUAGCUUUUUUCCAUCUGGGAUUCUCCUCUGGAUCCCAAUCUAUCCAUCACCAAUCAUCUAACUAUAUGUCUCUAUAUCAUCUAUCUGCUUACCUACCUACCAAUCUACUACCCCAUGCCAAUCUUAGCUGAAAUGGCCACAUUUUUCAUCAGAGAAUUUGCAGGUGCUCUCUGUAGUUGCUCACAGGCUAGUCCUUCAAUUCCGAGUCUCUACCCUGCUGAUUCCGACAGCAUUAACCCCUUCUCUUCUGAUCACUUCCAGACUUUAGUCAAUAUCCCAAACUAGGAUCAUUUGCUUUCCUUCAAAGUGUGCCUUCUGCAAAAUGUUUAUUUCUUUCUUUUUAUUUGCAUCACUUUCUUUAAUUUAGGAUUUUUUAUUUUUAAAAAUUUGAAAACUACAGGAAAAAGCCAUAGAUAACUACUCUUGGUAUCUAUUCUUAGGAAAAAAAUAGUAUCCUGUUACCAACACUCAGAAUUAAAAACACUGUUAACUUCUUGGUAUGGUUAUGUUCAGGGG